CUCUACGGACAUACCACCCUGACUGCGCCCGAUCUCCUCUGAUCUCGGAAGCCAAGCAGGGUCGGGCCUGGUUAGUUACUUGGACACACAGCUUAAGCUCUGGCCACUUUUACAC
rnacentral:rRNA from 1 species